rnacentral:rRNA from 1 species
CAGUAGCCGCGGGAAUACAGAGGGUGCAAGCGUUAAUCGGAAUUACUGGGCGUAAAGCGCGCGUGGGUGGUUUGUUAAGUUGGAUGUGAAAUCCCCGGGCUCAACCUGGGAACUGCAUCCAAAACUGGCAAGCUAGAGUAUGGUAGAGGGUGGUGGAAUUUCCUGUGUAGCGGUGAAAUGCGUAGAUAUAGGAAGGAACACCAGUGGCGAAGGCGACCACCUGGACUGAUACUGACACUGAGGUGCGAAAGCGUGGGGAGCAAACAGGAUUAGAUACCCCAGUAGUCCUGUCUCUUAUACA